rnacentral:lncRNA from 1 species
GCGUAGGACCCUCCAAGCCAGGUGCGAUAUAAUGUCGUGGUGCGCCGUUUUUUAAGCUGGUUGGAAAAGCGCAGUAUUCGCGUGGGAGUGACCCGAUUUUCCAGUGAGAUGAACCCGGUACCUCAGAUUGAAAUGCAGAAAUCACCCGUCUUCUGCGUCGCUCACGCUGGGAGCUGUAGACCGGAGCUGUUCCUAUUCGGCCAUCUUGGCUCCUCCCUCAGGAUUGGCAAACACAAAUCAUGUUCCAAGUUCUGCCUUCCACCUGAGUGAAAUACAUCACCGCUUUCCCUGCUCCCGCCGCCAUUAAAAUUGUGUUUGGCAUCUGACCACCAAGAUACAGAUAUUUCCUAGACUGUUUUGCAGCUAGGUACUUAGAUUUCAUACUAGGACCUUUCAUUGGCUGAACAAAGACAAAGACAGAAAUCAAGGAAGGUCAAAGAAGCAGUCAGUUUUCUGGCACCCAAAGUUGUUGGAGAAGGGUACAGAGUCGGUAAAUAAGUCAUAUGACAGACAGGCAGUAUUUUCUUAUUUUAAUAACAAGUUUAAAAAUCCCACUUCUUGUACUUACCUUCUGUCUGACGUCAUCAGUAUUUUAAAAUGCCAACUGGGAUCAAGUUCAACACUGCAUUACUGAAGAAUCCAGAUUAUCUACAUUUCAAGUGCC